AAGCUGACGAGUGGCGACGGGUGAGUAAUACAUCGGAACGUGCCCGAUCGUGGGGGAUAACGAAGCGAAAGCUUUGCUAAUACCGCAUAAGAUCUAAGGNUGAAAGCAGGGGACCGCAAGGCCUUGCGCGAACGGAGCGGCCGAUGGCAGAUUAGGUAGUUGGUGGGAUAAAAGCUUACCAAGCCGACGAUCUGUAGCUGGUCUGAGAGGACGACCAGCCACACUGGGACUGAGACACGGCCCAGACUCCUACGGGAGGCAGCAGUGGGGAAUUUUGGACAAUGGGCGCAAGCCUGAUCCAGCCAUGCCGCGUGCAGGAUGAAGGCCUUCGGGUUGUAAACUGCUUUUGUACGGAACGAAAAGACUCUGGUUAAUACCUGGGGUCCAUGACGGUACCGUAAGAAUAAGCACCGGCUAACUACGUGCCAGCCGCGGG
rnacentral:rRNA from 1 species